rnacentral:rRNA from 1 species
GUGCCAGCAGCCGCGGUAAGACGGAGGGGGCUAGCGUUGUUCGGAAUGACUGGGCGUAAAGGGCGCGUAGGCGGUUUAAUAAGUGAGGCGUGAAAGCCCUGGGCUUAACCCAGGAGGUGCGUUUCAUACUGUAAGACUUGAGUACGAGAGAGGAAAGCGGAAUUCCUAGUGUAGAGGUGAAAUUCGUAGAUAUUAGGAAGAACACCAGUGGCGAAGGCGGCUUUCUGGCUCGUAACUGACGCUGAGGCGCGAAAGCGUGGGGAGCAAACAGGAUUAGAUACCCUGGUAGUCCACGCUGUAAAACGAUGAGUGCUAGACGUUGGGGAGGAAUCUUCAGUGUCGCAGCUAACGCAUUAAGCACUCCGCCUGGGGAGUACGGUCGCAAGAUU